AAGUCGUAACAAGGUCUCCGUUGGUGAACCAGCGGAGGGAUCAUUACUGAGUUGCAAAACUCCCAAACCCAUGUGAACUCAUACCUAUACGUUGCUUCGGCGGACCCGCCCCGGCGCUCACGCGACCGGACCCAGGCGACCGUCGGGGGAAAACCAAAAACCACUGUUACCCAAUGUGAAACAUCUGAGUACCAAAACAAAUGAAUCAAAACUUUCAACAACGGAUCUCUUGGCUCUG
rnacentral:misc_RNA from 1 species